rnacentral:rRNA from 1 species
GAUGAACGCUGGCGGCGUGCCUAAUACAUGCAAGUCGAGCGAACGGACGAGAAUCUUUCUUCUCUGAUGUUAGCGGCGGACGGGUGAGUAACACGUGGAUAACCUACCUAUAAGACUGGGAUAACUUCGGGAAACCGGAGCUAAUACCGGAUAAUAUUUUGAACCGCAUGGUUCAAAAGUGAAAGACGGUCUUGCUGUCACUUAUAGAUGUAUCCGCGCUGCAUUAGCUAGUUGGUAAGGUAACGGCUUACCAAGGCAACGAUGCAUAGCCGACCUGAGAGGGUGAUCGGCCACACUGGAACUGAGACACGGUCCAGACUCCUACGGGAGGCAGCAGUAGGGAAUCUUCCGCAAUGGGCGAAAGCCUGACGGAGCAACGCCGCGUGAGUGAUGAAGGUCUUCGGAUCGUAAAACUCUGUUAUUAGGGAAGAACAUAUGUGUAAGUAACUGUGCACAUCUUGACGGUACCUAAUCAGAAAGCCACGGCUAACUACGUG